UACAGAGGUCCCAAGCGUUGUUCGGAUUCACUGGGCGUAAAGGGUGCGUAGGUGGUUAGGUAAGUCCGAUGUGAAAUCUCCAGGCUCAACCUGGAAAUGGCAUUGGAUACUAUCUAGCUUGAGGAGUGGAGGGGGGACUGGAAUUCUCGGUGUAGCAGUGAAAUGCGUAGAUAUCGAGAGGAACACCGUGGCGAAGGCGACGCCUG
rnacentral:rRNA from 1 species